GCUGUUCUAAGUAGUGCUGCAGUGAACAUUGGGAUUCAACAAGCACUUCACAGAAUGCAAUGAAGUUUAUAAGUGAAGCUACGUGGAGCCUGACCUUUAAGUUUCAACUAUGAUUCUAAUAAAAUGCUUCUUUAUAACAAAAUAAUGCCUAGCAUAUAGAAAACACUCAAUGAAUGUUAGCUACUAUUACAAAUACUAUAUGCUUAUAUUAUGCUACUUGUGGUCUUUGUUUGUGGUCUUUGUUUACAGAUAAGAACAGUGAGACUAGAGAAACUAAAUGACUUAUUUAAAAUCAUAAUCAUAUCUGGUUCCUAAAUUCUGCUUGUUUCUACUCCACCAUGAGGCUCCUUUAGAAAGCAGUGACAUAGCCUCAGAGAACAUUACAGGUAUUCAGGGGCCUUACCUUCACAGAUCUGUGUGAGCCCUACCAGCAUAUCCCUUACCCAACACUCUACUCCAUACACACAGGUCUCCCUGAGUUCACUCAUGCUCAUAAUGCUCAGAUUAUUUACUGCUUCUCUGCCUGAUUCUAGCCAAAUCCUCACCUUUCUAAGGCCCAGUUCAAAUACAAUAUCCUCAUGAAAAAUACUCUCCCCUUCCCACGCUAGAGGAAUUGGCCGCUCCCUCCCCACUGUUCCCAUGAUUCUAUUGUCAUUCUAUGCACAGUCAGAUGAAUAUAUAUUGAUAUUUGUUUACACCACAGUCUUACCAGAUCCUUACGGGACACCUUUCAAUUCCUAGAACCUAGUACAAUGCUUGGUAGCUAGUAUCCAUUUUUUGAAUAAAUGGAUGAAUAUGCUUGGUCAAAAAAUAUAUAAUUUAUCUCUUACAGUCUAACUGUGAUCAGGCUCUAUAUACUUGCCAAGAACCAAGAGCUAUUUUAAGGUAACUUAUACUUAUACAUAGUACUGGCUAUGUAUAUAUGCAUACAUGCAUGUAAUCUUAAAAUAAAUACUGUAUUAAGUCCCCACUAUAUAUAUGCCAGUUAGAGUCUAAGAAGUACAAUGUACCUCUGGGGAGACUGUACUCAAUCUCCUACUACAUAUAUUGAUACAGUACAUAACAGACUUAAUUAAAAAGAAAAUAACUUUGAGAGUUCAUGUUCAGAUAUUAGGUAGACAGCAGAUUUGCUAAAUCCUAGGAUAAACAGCAAUUUCAUUCAUUCACAUUCACUUAUCUAUUUGUAAAGCAGGAUUCAGAAUGGAUUUCUUAAAGUACAAUUAACACACAAACAAAAUUCAUCAAACCCCAUAAAUCAGGGGUCCUUAACCCAGGCUCUAGGAACAACUUAUCUGCAAAGAGUUUUUGUAUGUGCAUUAUUUUAGGAAAAAGCCACAGCUUUGCUCAAAAGAUUAAGAACUAUUACCCCAUCAUAUUCUAGUAUGAGAAUAUUUUAUACACAUUAACAAACUGGCGAUUAAGAAAUAAUUUAAUAUUUAUAUGCAACUGUCAGUAUAGAUGGAUAAAAAGAAUCACAAAAAUUUUCAUCAGCCUAUAUAUAUUCUGCCUACUCUGGAGCAGAAAGACAGAGGACCCCAGAAGUGACUGCAUGACAGGUUAUUAAGACGACAACUACUAAUUCCUGACAAGCAAUGGUGGCAAGAUCUGUUACUUUCGGCAUCAGUGAAAUAUGGGCUCAUGUCCUCUUUGUACGUGCUUACCAUGUAACCUUGUUAUUUUAACCAGUCUGGGCAUCAGUUUCUACACUCUUCAAUUAAAUGGAGGAUCAUAUAACCUCAGCCUUUAUAAAGACUGGGGUAAAAAUCAAUUGAAAUAAUAUUUGGAAAGCUCCUAGAGUUCAGUACCUGGCCUAGAGUAGAUACUCAAAUGGACGGCAAUGCCAGUAUCAAGAUGGUACAUUACACUAAAUUCUAUGGCAUAAAGAGUUAUCACCUAUUAAUGGUGGAUCUCAAGUGCAACUCUGGAUAAACAUUUACAGAAAACAAGAAGUUACAUGAAAGAAUUCCAAAAGUUCUUAUCCAACUCCCUGAUUUUAAAGAAAACUCGGGGGGCUCAGAGGUGAUGGUACAAUUUGCCUAGCCCCUUGGCUGUAGCAGGAUCUAAGUCUUCGGGCAACGUGGCUGCCAAUCCUUAUGCUACACUGCACUGCCUAAGUACGCUGCAGAUGUUUUCCCUCCAAGAGAAAUAAUACAGGUGAAAGGAGGAAAAAACACAACAGGUAUUGGAGACAGAUCAAGUUUCCCUUUCUAAUGUAUAUGCCUGACUUAAACAACUUUUAAGUGUGACUUUUAAACAGGAAAAAUAAUUAAACAAGGCAAAUCAAAGUUGUAUAGUUUGAAGGGAAUAUUGCCUCAAAAGGCACAACAUGUUAAGACUUAAAAAUUUAAUGAUUAUUGACAAUAACCUGUCUAUAAUGAGAA